GGAGGACGUGGGGAUUUAGGGUUGGUACACGUCGCCACCCUCCUCACGAUCCUCC
ncrna:unclassified sequences RAGATH-31 RNA